rnacentral:lncRNA from 1 species
CCAAUUCAAAUGAUUGAAUAACAAAAAUAAAAAGUUUUUUUAUACUGGCAAUCUAAAAAUAAUCGGGGUAUGUAAGAUUAGGCGGGGAAUAAUCGGAUUAGGCGGGGAAUAAUUGGAUUAGGCGGAGAGUAAUCGGGUGACUGAUUUCUUUAAGGGAUUAGUCAUUAAUCGAGGCGGACAGGGUGGGCCUAGCGAUUAAGCGGGGAGUAAUCGGGUCUAGGCGGGGAUUUUUAGAACAGGGGUUGAGACUCACAAAAUAUCAGACAUUGUCAGAUUUCUGAUUAUAUACUUCGAGAAAAUGGUUCAAGCUAGUUAUUAAUGUUUCUAGAAAGCGAGACUUAUAUUUAUGUCUAUUGAGUCAAUGCAAGGUUUGGUUUAAGACUUUUAGCUAUUCAAAGCAAUAAGCAAGAUAAAAUAUCAAAAGUCCAAAUUUUUUUCUUAGUCAUGCUUCACAUUCCUAAUUUUUUCUAUACUUAAUAAUGCAAGCAAAUAAUGAUUAUAAAUUUUGAUAAAAGGCAGUGUUCUAAAAAGCGGUCUAGGCGCUCGUCUAGGCCCUAACUAGGCGCUAGGCUCUCAUGCGACGCCUAGAUAACCGCUUUGACUGUCUAAAAUUACAUAGAUCUUGUUUAAUGUAUUUUUUCCAGUGUUCAAGAAAGCGCUAGGCGCUAAGCGGGCGGUAACCCAAUGCCUAGCGCCUAGAAGGACUAAUCGGGGCCUAUGCGAUUUUUUAGGCGGUUUAGACGUUUAUAACAUAAAACAUUAUAAAUAUGAUAUUAUAUAUAAAAGUGAUAUAAAAUAUCUAUAUAAAACUAAAAAUUAUGAAAUUAUAAACAAAAACUAGAUGAAACCUUUAAAUGAGAUUUUAAAUAUAAAUAAAGGUUUUAUCUAGUUUUUUUGACAAUAUAUGAAUAUUUAUAACUAUAUAUAUAAAAAUAAAACUCUAAUUGAAAUUGAAAAAAAUACAUUAAACAAGAUCUAUAUAAUUUUAGGCGGUCAAGGCGGUUAUCUAGGCGUCGCAUGAGAGCCUAGAGCCUAGUCGAGGCCUAGGCGACCGCCUAGACCGCUUUUUUAAACACUGAUUUUUUCAAUUUCAAUUAGAGUUUUAUUUAUAUAUAUAGUUAUAAAUAUUCAUAUAUUAUUUAAUAUAAAUAUAAAUAAAUAUUUUAUCUAAUUUUUAUUUAUAAUUUCAUAAUUUUUAGUUUUAUAUAGAUAUUUUAUAUAACUUUUAUAUAUAAUAUCAUAUUGAUAAUGUUUUAUGUUAUAAACGUCUAAACCGCUUAAAAAAUCGUCUAGGCCCCGAUUAAGCGUUCUAAGCGCUAGGCACUGGGUCACCGCCCGCUUAGCGCCUAGCGCUUUCUUGAACACUGAUAAAAGGUAAUGAAAACUCUAAAGAGAACACAAAUGAACACAGAUAUUAAUGACCACAACCCACGAAACUGUACAUCUAAAAC